rfam:Gorilla gorilla gorilla genomic chromosome, chr2B, whole genome shotgun sequence
GCCUAGUAAAGUCAAUUCCUGUAGUUCCAGCUACUUGAAGGCUGAGGCAGGGGGAUUGCUUGAAUCCAAGAAUUCUGCGAUGCACUAUGCCAAUAGGGUGACCUCCUGGGAGUGCGAGACCACCAGGUUGUCUAAGGAGGGGUGAACUCGACCAGGUCAGAAACAGGGCAGGUCAAAACUCCUAUGCUGAUUAGCAGUAGGAUUGCAUCUGUGAAUAGCCAUUGCACUCCAGCCUGGGAAACAUAGUGAGACCCUGCUUCUU